CCCUUAGAGUUUGAUCCUGGCUCAGAACGAACGUUGGCGGCGUGGAUUAGGCAUGCAAGUCGGGGGAAUCCCAGCAAUGGGGGAACCGGCGUAAGGGGCAGUAAGGCGUGGGUACCUACCCCGGGGUUCGGGAUAGCUGUCCGAGAGGGCAGGUAAUACCGGAUGACCUGGUGACAGCAAAGAUUGAUCGCCCUGGGAGGGGCCCACGUGAUAUUACCUAGUUGGCGGGGUAACGGCCCACCAAGGGGAAGAUGUCUAGCGGGUGUGAGAGCACGACCCGCGCCACUGGCACUGAGACACUGGCCAGACACCUACGGGUGGCUGCAGUCGAGGAUCUUCGGCAAUGGGCGCAAGCCUGACCGAGCGACGCCGCGUGCGCGAUGAAGGCCUUCGGGUUGUAAAGCGCUGUCGGGGGGGAGAAAAGCCCGCAAGGGUGUGAUCUAUCCCCGGAGGAAGCACGGGCUAAGUUCGUGCCAGCAGCCGCGGUAAGACGAACCGUGCGAACGUUGUUCGGAAUCACUGGGCUUAAAGGGCGCGUAGGCGGGCCUCCAAGUCCGGGGUGAAAUCCUCCAGCCUAACUGGAGAAGAGCCUCGGAGACUGGGGGCCUCGAGGAGGGUAGGGGCAAGCGGAACUAUGGGUGGAGCGGUGAAAUGCAUUGAUAUCCAUAGGAACUCCGGUGGCGAAGGCGGCUUGCUGGACCCUUUCUGACGCUGAGGCGCGAAAGCCAGGGGAGCAAACGGGAUUAGAUACCCCGGUAGUCCUGGCCCUAAACGUUGGGGA
rnacentral:rRNA from 1 species